rnacentral:rRNA from 1 species
AUUGAACGCUGGCGGCAGGCCUAACACAUGCAAGUCGAGCGGAUGAAGGGAGCUUGCUCCUGGAUUCAGCGGCGGACGGGUGAGUAAUGCCUAGGAAUCUGCCUGGUAGUGGGGGAUAACGUCCGGAAACGGGCGCUAAUACCGCAUACGUCCUGAGGGAGAAAGUGGGGGAUCUUCGGCCUCCAGCCUACCAGUGAAGCUAGGUCGGAUUAGCUAGUUGGUGGGGUAAAGGCCUACCAAGGCGACGAUCCGUAACUGGUCUGAGAGGAUGAUCAGUCACACUGGAACUGAGACACGGUCCAGACUCCUACGGGAGGCAGCAGUGGGGAAUAUUGGACAAAGGGCGAAAGCCUGAUCCAGCCAUGCCGCGUGUGUGAAGAAGGUCUUCGGAUUGUAAAGCACUUUAAGUUGGGAGGAAGGGCAGUAAGUUAAUACCUUGCUGUUUUGACGUUACCAACAGAAUAAGCACCGGCUAACUUCGUG